UUUUCAUAAAAGUAUGUCAUUUAUGUUUAUAUGUAAUGGGUCUAUUAUUGCUACUUUAAAAUAAAUUAAUAAAUUGUCUUAAAUUACUCAUUUAAUUUCUAAUAAUCAGUAGAUAGAAUCUACAUAAACAGGAGCUUUCCGGUUCUCAAUACUUUUUCAGAGUGUAAAGGGGUCCUGACACCAAGAAAUUUGAGAACCUAAAGUACUGAAAGAAAACAUGGGGGGAUUUACAACUACAUAUAAUUUCAGAGUAGGGAAGACUUGUCUAAGCAAGUCAACAAAACCUUGAAGCCAUUAAAGAAAGAUUAAUAAAUGUAAUUAAGUAAACACUAAAAGGUUCUGCAUGGCAAAAAUGUCAUAAACAAAACCAAAAAGAUGACAAGUUAGGAAAAAUUUUAAUUUUCCUUCAUAUCUAAAGAGCUUCCACAAGCCACCAAGAAAGGACAAACAACUCAAAAAAUGGCCAGUCAACAUAAAUGUAUAAUUCACUCAAUAAAGAAAUACAGAUUUUCAACAAUUUUUUUAAACAUACGAAAAAUGCUCAAGAGCAUUCAUCAAUACAAAUUAAAACUAAAGUGAGAUACUGUUUUUCAUCUACCAGAUCAGAAAAGAUAAAAGAAUGUGAUAAUACCUGUGUAAGAAAUCAGGUGCUCAUGAAUGUUUUUGUUUGGAGUGUAAUAGUAUAGGGCAAUGUGGAACGUCUAUCAAAAAUUCAAAAGUAUGUACCUUUGGAUCCAGAAAGUUAACCUAUACAUAUACUCAUACAUGUGCAUAAUCACUAUAGUGUUGUGACUGACUAAAUGAAUUAUGAUAAAGCCAGACAAUAGAAAACCAAAAAGAAUGAGUUAUAUGUACUGACAUGUAAAGAUCACUAUGAUGUAUACAGUUACAAUAAAAAGGUAAGUUGCAAAAGUGUGUAUAUGCUACCAUUUGUAUU
rnacentral:lncRNA from 10 species